AUGCACGAACACAGGCGGGAGGGGUCAGAGGAGACCUGGAGUCCAGGGAAUAUUGCCCCCAAACCUCUGGAAUUCCCCGAGAUUCCCAGGUGUUCAUCCCAGCUUACCAGGACCCCGAGCCAGAAGAAGAUCCCGCUGGCCACAGGCAGGGAAGGGUUUCCAUGCUCCGACGCUGUCAGGAUGAUCCCGAAUAAGAUGUGGAUGAUCCCGGUGAAGAUGUGGAUGGUCUGGGGAAGGAUGGAGGGAGAGGGAUCCCAAUCCCAUUGUUUUGAGCUGUAUCCCACCCCGGGAAGGGACUGGGGACGGGCAGAGCACCUCCAGCAGGACAAUCCCCGUGGAUCCCCGAUCCCCAGGAACGCCGUGUCUCACCCCCAACACCUUGGGAUGAGCCCUCCGGAAGCCUUGGACUGGGAGCGAUGUCCUGGCAGGCGCAGCUUCCCCGGAUCCCAACGCCAGCUGUGCCGCCCGCGGAUCCGUGGCCGGGAUCACCUCCGUGAUGAUCCUCACGCCACUGGAUUCCGUCACCGUGGUGGCCGCCAUGGCCCAGGAAGGAGCCCAGGAAGCUCGAGGGACACCCAGGUAUCCUCUUGUCCCUCCUCCUCCUCCCUCCACUGUCCCAAAAUCCCCGGGAGGGGUUGGGCAGGCAGGGCCACGCUCCCGCUGCCCUUUGCUCCCUGCGGGAAGCUCCGGCCUGGAAUUCUCGUCAGGCCCCUCUUGCUCAACGGGGCGGCUUUGCCAACGGAGGCUCCCGAAAUCCUGCACGGGGAGAGGGAAUUUGGGAAGCCAAGGUGUUCCUGCUUCCCACAGGGCUGUUUCCAUGGCAAUUCUGGAAGGAAAGUCCUGUUUCCUGGGAUGAAUCACAGGAUUUUUUUUGGCUUUUAUCCAUGUGGCAUUCCCAGGAAUCACAGCACAGGUGCCACUGCGAACACACCAGGGACAGCUGCACCUGAACACCAGGAUACUCUGGGAAAACUGACUCUGAUCCCGAGGAGGGAGAGGACGAUUACCAGCCUCUUUCCUGGGAAGCUGCCACCCUGGGAAAACACAGAUGGAUCCACCAGCUUGGCUGAGGGUUGGAAUGGCUUCCUGGUGGUCCCUGUGGAGCUGGGAGAGGCUGGGAUGCUCCGGAGCAGUAAUGGAUUGUGGACAUGGGGAGCCACAAGCCCGGACCGAGCGUUUAUUCCCAAGAUAAAACCAAGCCAACGCGGGACAAGCCGAGGUAGACGGUCCGGUGGAUCCACACGUCGGGAUUGCUCCAAGCCACCGGAACCCCGGGAAGUCCUGAAUCCUGACACGAGUGAAUCCCAGAAUCCCACUGGGGAUUUACGGGCGGGAAUUCCGCAAGAGUCCCGCACGGAGAAGCCCCUUCCCAAAGCAGCCAGCAAGGAAUGCCCCUCAGACCAGGCACGGGGGCAGAUGGAUGGGCAGGAGAGUGGGAAUUUGGGGAGGGGCUCGCUGGCUUUUGGAGGGGUGGGACCAGCGUAUCCCAGCGGGAAGACGAUGCCGUAGCCCUGGAUUUGGGAGCGAUGGAGGCAGGAUCCCAUUCCGGUGUCAGACUUCAGGAGCAGCCAGCUGGAAGGAGAGCAAGCUUUGGGAAGGGGGAAGGAUUUGGGGUGACCCCUCAGCGAGAUUUUGGGAUCUCCUCCCCCGUUCCCGGAGCAGAGAGGUGGAUGCUCCAGGAUGCUCUCUGGGAAUGGGGUGUUUUCCCAGGGCAGCGGGAUGGGGUCUGUCACACAGGAAGGGAUCGGAUGCUGCUCCGGGCUGGGGAGGGCCAUCCCAAUCCCGACUGCGCCCCUAUCCCAGAUAUUCCUUGGGAUGGGGAAUCACCUCGGUGUAGCUGGGUGGCUGUGGCAGCUCCGCCGGCGGCACGGCCAGGUCCACACGGGUGGCACUGGGGACGAUCAGCAUGGACUGGGAGAAACCAGGAUCAUGGGAUACGCCAGGAUAACAGGGAAGAGCUUCAGGGGGUUCCAUCCCAGCCUCCCCCCUUCAUCCCCUUCCUUACCUCGUUGGAGCUGAGCCGGGUGGCCCGGCACCAGAAGUUGGCAGUGGCCACGGCGAUGCAGAAUUCCAGGACGGUGAAGAUGAGGAGCACAAUGGAAAUCCCGUUCCCUGCGAGCUCCAGGGUGGGGGGAAAACCCCAUCAGCACCUCCCUGGGAAGCGCCCAGGAGGAAGAAUCCCACCCCACGCCACGCUUUGGGGCUCCCCCCUCCUUUCCCGCCGCACUCCCGGCUCUGUGAGCACUCUGAUCCCGCCGUUUUUCCGGCUCGCAGAUGCUUCCAAAGGGUGAGUCAUCUCCCGAGGGACCGACCUGAAAUAGGUCAACGCCGGCAGACGCGCCAAACCCCCACCCCAAAAGCGCCUUUGGGGGGGGCCACGGCGCCCCUCUGAGGGGCGGAGGACACUCCGGGGGGGUUCUCCCGAGGGCGGGAAUUCCUGAAAGUGGGAUUACCAGGACGAGGUAUCCGUGGUAGUCAAGGUUGGAGUGGUAGAGCACGUUGAGGUUGA
rnacentral:lncRNA from 1 species